rnacentral:lncRNA from 1 species
UAGAAAAUACUGUGUUUAAAAGCAAACCUUUACCCUAAGGUUUAGGUACACAAAUGCAGAGUUUUCCAUCUAAUAUGUCAGGCAAAACACCUCACUCUUGAAGCAGCAGACAGAAUGGGGCACAAGAUAAAAAAAAAGCCAGCUUGUGAUACUAGGAAGGUGACAGGCAUAGCUAAAAGCAUAAGCUUUCUCCAGCCUUAAGUCAGUUACAUUCAACAUACAUGAGCUUGUAAACUAAGGAAUUCUAACUGUACUUUUAGCAUUUCAUUAAGAACUUGCUCAUUGCAGCACUCUCGGGUUUGCCAGCAGAAAAAGUCCAUGUGUCCUUGAGUAUUUGUUUCCACCAGUAACAUGACACAAGAAGGGGAGAUCCAACUCUCGGAAGAAUGUCAGAUGAGGGACUUCUUCACUGCAACUUUUUGUGUUUGUUCCUGGGUUUCUUCACACUAAGUUUGUUCCACAUAAGACUACUCUCCCAUGAUGAUUUUUCAGUAGAGCUCCACCACCUUUGGAAAUACUAACAGCAUAGUGGAUCAAAGGCUUACUCCCACCCACUUUGAGACAUACAGCUAGCUUGACAAAGCAGGUUAACAUUCCUCUAGAACACUCUGUAUCUUAUGAUUACCAUUUCCCUUUUCCUCACCCCCUCUUUUGUGAGAGGACAGCAUGAAUUACUUGCUGCUGAAGUGCAAUUCAAGAGUAGUUCCAAGGAAAGCAUGUUGGUGUGUCACAGAUGAAUGGGGCCUGAAGCCUGUUCCCCUACUUCCUCCCAAGAACCAAGAUUUUUUUCCCUCCCCACCACAAAUAUUUACUAGUCUAACUGCUAUUCUGGUAUAAAUGCAGCAAUUCCAGAGCACAGAUAGCUGUGUGUAUAUACCACUCCGGAACAGGCCAUGCUCCAGAAGCACUAUACUGCAUCUGACAAUAGAAUCCUUACUGCACAUUCACCCUGGUCUUCUGCUAUAAACCACUAUAAAUUCCUCCUCCUCCUCAGCCAACCCUUCUAGUCUGGGACAACACUUCCUCCACAGCAGAAAGCCAGAUGCCUGGGGAGCCUUUUCGAGUACAUUCUCCUAUCACACACAGAUACAGUCAAUCCUGCUGCUUUAACCCAGGAAGACUGCUGUAGAGAGGUUGAUGCAAAAAGUGAUAGCAAUUACGCUGAGGGACCCCACCACAUUUGCUCUUUCCAUUCAAAUCAAUCAUCUGGUAACAGGCUAUAUCAUUUCCAAAACAGGAUUUUUGGUGCAUUAUACUAAUAACAGUAAGAAACAAAAAAGGUUCCAGAACAUGUUGACUUCUACAGCUAAACUUAUUGGCAGUUGUAACAGCUAUAUGUAAUAUAUAUCCCCAAGGUUUUAUAGCUAGCUCCCUUGAAUUUAAGGGUGAAGGAGCUGAACUUUAUCCAUUAAGCAUCUCUGUGCACAAGUUAUUUACUAUAAAUAAAUGUGUUACUGCAUAGGAGAGAAACUACUGCCUAUGAAAUCUGACAGCAUCUUUCCUUUGCAAUCUCCAAGAGAUUUCCCAGGUCUAACUAGUCAUUGUCUUUCACAACAUGACUGCUUUGCCCAACAAAAAGGUAGCCUUAACAUGUGAUAAGAGGUUCUUCCAGAAGUUACUGUAUAGUUUGUCAAGCUAGAAGUAAAACUCCAUUGCAAGUUUAGGUUUCUACACUGAAAACAAUUGGCAGAUCAAGGAUAAUCUUACCACUGCAUCAACAUUAGCAGGAGAAUCACCAUUGGGAUCUGCCAGCAUAGAAAUAACACUAAUCAUUAGUUUCCACUGUGUGAAUGGGAAGCCAGCGUUCCUCAGGUUUUUCAUAGCCAUAUUUGUCUUCUCCAGGCUCAUGAAGAAUUGAAAUGCAGACAUCGCCAUUCUUUACUUACUAUAGUUAUCUGGAGGACCAAUAAUAAGGACUUCCCAUCGAGAAAGAUCAUUGUCAUCUAUUAAGCCCGCUGAAAAGCCUUCCACUGGAUUUUUGUUGAGCUCUG